rnacentral:tRNA from 4 species
AGGCGCGUAGCUCAGUGGUAGAGCACUUGCUCGACACGCAAGGGGUCGACGGUUCAAUCCCGCCCGCGCCUA